ensembl:lncRNA
GGGGGGGGGGGGGGGGGGGGGGGGGGGGGGGGGGGGGGGGGGGGGGGGGGGGGGGGGGGGGGGGGGGGGGGGGGGGGGGGGGGGGGGGGGGCCCACCGCCGCCACCGGGCGUACCGGUGCUCCGCGGCCGAGGUACGCGCCUCCGGGCACCGGCUGCAGUGUGUGUAGCGUGACCACUCCGCAAAACGGGGUCAGAAGGACUCGCGGCUGGGAGCCGAACAUGUGUUAUUUCGCCAUUUCAUGUUGAGUGUCCCCACCAUCGGAGAGGGACACACCGUCCUGCGGGAUGCCCUCAGCCGCCCCGAGAGGUGCGAGGCCCGGAGCCAUCCGCUGGCAGACACGUUCAAUCCUCAGCAAAGAGGCCUCCAGAAAUUAAAAGAAAACACAACACACACACACAAAGAAAAAUAAAAAGCAAACAAACCCAUCCGCCGAACAACACCAAACACGCUGGCUCCCCUCAGGAGCCGCGAAGGCGAGCUGACAGCGUACGCCAAACCGUGACACCGCUCCCGGAGUCUCACCCGUUCUCUCUCCAGGAGGAGGCGGCCGCCCAUGCCGGGAGCGGGACUGUUCUCCCGGCUGCGGGCGCUCGGGAACUCCGGGAAAUGUCACUCCCGGCGUGUGCCGCGGUCCGGCGGGAGCGGGGUGGGCGGGGGGUCCUCACCGCCGCCUGCAGCCUCGGGCGGGCGGGCAGCGCCCAGCGCCUCCCCAACUCCUCACCCCUCGCCUCAGGAACCCUUCACCUCAGGAACCCUUCACCUCAGGAAACCCUCAUCUCAGGAAGCCCUCGCCUCAGGAACGCGCCAUCCCCUCGCCUCAGGAGCCCCUCACCGCAGUUGCCCCUCAGGAAAGGCUCGCUUGGUGCCAGAGGAAUGGGAAGGAGUCGCUGUCCCCUCACCUUUGUGCAGGUCUGUGACCUCCCAGCCGCAGCAGUGCCGUGUCAGCGCAGGAAGAAGGGAAAGGACCUCUUGGUCAAAUUUCUGCCACAGCUGAGAAAGCGAUCCGCAGGUCUGUGAACCUGAGAGAGGAGAGGGAAGGCUGCCAAUCUCGGUAGAAGGGAGGAUGCAGAGAGAAGGCAGAGGACGAGGGACAGCAGCAGCAGUGAGGGCACACAUCUUCCAUGAAGCUCAUAGUUUUUGUUUGAGGUAGGAAAUAUGUUUCAGACAAAGUUUUCAGUCCAAGUGUAGCAUUGUCGACUUGUCUGUGACCAUGCAUAUAUGCAUAUUUCCAGUCUGGUUGGUUUUGUUGUUUGAGGGGCCUUUUUUUUUGAGGAUGUAAGUAAAGAAAAGUAUAAUUUGAGGGGCCCUUUUUUUUGAGGAUGUAAGUAAAGAAAAGUAUAAACCUUUAUCUACAGUCGUUUUUUUUUUUCUUUCAAUGCUUAUGUGAAAGGUUUGAUCUAAUAUGUAUAUGUGAGUUUAUUCUUUAGGUCUUUCUAAAUUUUUUUUUUUUUCUUUCAAUGCUUAUAUGAAAGGUUUGAUCUAAUAUGGAUAUGUGAGUUUAUUCUUUAGGUCUUUCUAAAUUCAAAGGAAGAGCUGAGUUUUCUUUAAGGAGGAACUGAAACUUACUUGAAAGGAAGUGAUAGAUGUAGUUGGCUCAUUGUUAUCUUAAGCAUUUCCCUUCUUUGUUCCACUGGAGAUAGAUGAAUAGCUGCUCUGCAUGGACAUACAUGACUCUCAAGCUCUGGUUUCUGGUAAUUAAAUCAUUCAAGGUGUGAUUGAGUCAAACUCCAGCAAAAGGGAUUUUAUUGUUGAAGGAACCCAGCAGGCCUCACUUUUGCAACACUUUCUUGGCUUAUCUGCUGUUGGCAUCCUGGUCUUUUCCUCCCUACUCCUUAAUGACAGGGGGUACAGUGGGCAUCAAAACCCCCAUCCUUUGUGCACAGAGUAUUGGAAGCUGUCUUUCAAAGGAGAAAGGCUCACACACCUGUGCUGCAGAUCGCAGGCACAUCUUUGUUUCUUAAAUAACUCAGGAAUGUGUUGCUCAAAUUUAACCACACUUGACUGAGGCAACUGGUCAUUGCUGUAGGGGAGGGCCAAAAAUAGCUGCCACUGAUGAGGGCAUGGAGAGGCAAGGCAGCCACUGCAGUAGCUUUCAGCAGCAGGUGGCUGUCAGCCAGUCACACUCAGGCCUAAAAUUCUUCAUAUGGUUAUAUCUCCUCUAUCAGAACUGCCACAGGGAAUACAAUGCUCAUACCUCAGGAAAAAGUUGUGAUGGGGGCAGGUAAAGAAUGGUUAAAAACAUGGGCUCCUGCUUUCCAUGGGCUCCUGCUUUCAUCAGUUCUUUGAGCAGUGAAAUGGUUCACAGACACACAAAGCUUUAAGUACACCCUGAAGUAUUCAAGGCAUUAACGAAAAUCCAAAGCAUCUUGUUCAUUUCAAUUACUUCUCCACCCACAUUCUUCAUUGAAUUAAAGGAUAUCCUACACACUCUUUUGUUUCACUUAUUCCCCAAAGAUUGUUUCAUCGUACACCAAGCAAGGAUCUUCAGCAUAUUCAUAGUAACGUCUCAGUCACGGCAUUCAGCAUGAUGAUGUUCCUGGCACAAGGGAUGUUAUUAAAGGAUUGAAGAGAUGAAUAGAUGGCAGAUUUCCCCAGGGCAGCACAUCAGAAAAUGGACAUCAAAAGAACCUGGCUCAAAAUGCAGUGGGUAUUACUGGCUCCUGACAAAUCCCACUCAUUUCUGAACAGUAACACUGUCAGGCUGUGUUAGGGAUAUGUCCAUCCCAGAAUACCUCCAUAAAACUGUUUGCUUAUCCCUACAAGCACUCCCCUUUCAACACCCACCCCUCUAGUUGAAGAUAGCAUAAUCUUCAUUAGUCAAAAGUAGUUUGGGCACAAAUCCAAAUACAAUCUUACUCAAAUAAUUCCCAGCAUCCCAAGGCUCAGGCUUUGUAGCCAUCAAAAUUACCUUUUUUUCCCAUCAUUUUUCAUUAACUCAUCUGGAUUGCCCUAGAAACCCUGAACGUGUGAGUCUCUUUCACAAGACAUGUAGGUUGUUACUUAUUACAAGUCAUCUUCACAGACCCCAACAGGAUAACAGACCACAAUCUGUGACAGGAAAUUUUAAAAAUUUCUAUUUCCUUUUUUACCAAGAACUGGUUGGAAUUUAUUUUCUUAAAGCUAUUUCAAACUGUGAAUAACAGUUCCUGAGCAGGCAUUGAGGAGGGAGAAGCACAUAUACUGACAUGAUGUCAUCACUUGAAUUAUUCUGCUGAGAUAUAAAAAUAGUUUGGAAGGCAGCACGGCCAAAAUUACUAUAUCAUUUAAUUGCAACCUACUUUCAUGACAGGCCAUCAGUUAAUUAAGAGUGUCAAAAUGCUGAAUUGCCUCCAGGUUCUACAUGUUUUGCAAAUGACAUGGAAGUCAUCUUUUUAAAUAGCAACAGCUUAACUGAAAAUGUAGAACCCAUAGUGAAACACUUUGAAAAAUGAGGCAGUCAACUAAGCUGACCUGAAAUUCCCCACGCCAUAAAUUCACUAGGGAAGACAGUUGUAACUCAUUUAAUUUACUCUCUGAAGAUCACAUUCACAUGACAUCAAAACUAUUUUUCUGAAAUUGAUACAAUUUUGAAGUGUUAUAAAACAGGAGCCUGAAGUGACUGUGUUCUGUGCAGGUACACACAGGGCCUGGCUCCAGCCCCUUCCCUCCAGGCUGAUACAAUACAGGCAACUGUAAAGCAGGAAAAGGCUUAGAAAAAAGGGUUUUUUUCCUUUAGAAAUAAGUCACCUUCACUGAUUCUAAAGUACCACAUAUGACAUGAGAGAAAAUUCUCUGUAAAGGGAAUAAUGUUGCUAUAAACUUAGAAAAUUAAGGAAUUGGUUUACCUAUUUGUUAUAUCUGAUGCCAAAUCCCAUAUUCUCUUCAUAGAGUUAUGUAAUUUUUUAUUAAACAAGUGAUU